UGUUCUGGUGGUCGGCGCUCCUGGUUCCCAGGAUGGGGUUCAAGUCCCUACGGUGUC
rnacentral:sRNA from 1 species